UACGUAGGGGGCAAGCGUUGUCCGGAAUCAUUGGGCGUAAAGCGCGUGUAGGCGGUUACGUAAGUCUGCUGUGAAAGUCGGAGGCUCAACCUUCGAAAGCCGGUGGAUACUGCGUGACUAGAGUACGGAAGAGGAGAGUGGAAUUCCUGGUGUAGCGGUGAAAUGCGCAGAUAUCAGGAGGAACACCGGUGGCGAAGGCGGGUCUCUGGGCCGAUACUGACGCUGAGGAGCGAAAGCGUGGGGAGCGAACAGG
rnacentral:rRNA from 1 species